CUUUGGGAUUUUUCCUUUCCUAUUUAUAGGUCACAUCAAAAGACUUCCUUUGAUGUGUUACCUACUUAAUAAUUGACUAUUGUGUCCUCUGACCUUACUUCCUUUGGCCACCUGUUUUCCACCUCACUUUACUUGCUGUUGCUGAGCUGGAAACAUCUUUUCCCUUCUCAGACUCAUCGGAAGAGGUGGACAAGCCGUCGGUAGCGGCUGCUACGAAAACUGAUCCUGAAGACUCAUCGGAAGAGGUGCACAAGCCGUCGGUAGCGGCUGCUACGAAAACUUAUCGUAAAGACUCAUUACGCUCAUCAGAUGGCGCAUGGAAAGGCCUACGUUACCCGAAGGACUUGGUCCUGGUUUUCCCGAAAAAUGGUCCUAAAUAUGGCGCAAAAACAGAUUGCCCGAAGCCCUCGGCUGCUACCAUAACUGAUCCUUAAGUACUUCAUCUGUAAGCAUGGACGCCUUCACCACAAGUAACAACUGUGAAGAAUUGGAAGAUUUUGUAAGCGUUUACCUUGAAAAUGCCAACGCCUUUUUUGAAUAAGUAUCAAGAACAUGACAGUGUUGGCUCCUUUCUUGCCCGUAGUAAUGACGGCUACAUUCCUGCCAGAAGUGUUAAAGUGUCCGAAAUGGAGUCUGAUGUGUACCUUAACUUUGAAUCGGAUAUUGAUGGCAUUGUGAUUGAAUGGAAAACAGUCGCAGCAUUAAAUCAUCCCGUGCGUUA